rnacentral:rRNA from 1 species
GUGGGUAGUUUGACUGGGGCGGUCUCCUCCUAAAGAGUAACGGAGGAGCACGAAGGUUGGCUAAUCCUGGUCGGACAUCAGGAGGUUAGUGCAAUGGCAUAAGCCAGCUUGACUGCGAGCGUGACGGCGCGAGCAGGUGCGAAAGCAGGUCAUAGUGAUCCGGUGGUUCUGAAUGGAAGGGCCAUCGCUCAACGGAUAAAAGGUACUCCGGGGAUAACAGGCUGAUACCGCCCAAGAGUUCAUAUCGACGGCGGUGUUUGGCACCUCGAUGUCGGCUCAUCACAUCCUGGGGCUGAAGUAGGUCCCAAGGGUAUGGCUGUUCGCCAUUUAAAGUGGUACGCGAGCUGGGUUUAGAACGUCGUGAGACAGUUCGGUCCCUAUCUGCCGUGGGCGCUGGAGAACUGAGGGGGGCUGCUCCUAGUACGAGAGGACCGGAGUGGACGCAUCACUGGUGUUCGGGUUGUCAUGCCAAUGGCACUGCCCGGUAGCUAAAUGCGGAAGAGAUAAGUGCUGAAAGCAUCUAAGCACGAAACUUGCCCCGAGAUGAGUUCUCCCUGAGACUUAAAGUCUCCUGAAGGAACGUUGAAGACGACGACGUUGAUAGGCCGGGUGUGUAAGCGCAGCGAUGCGUUGAGCUAACCGGUACUAAUGAACCGUGAGGCUUAACCUUACAACGCCGAAGGUGUUU